AAAAAAUCCCAAAGAAUCCGCCAAAAAAACCCUCAAAAAAUCACAAAGAACCUCAAAAAAACAAAAAAAACCCCCAGAAUCUCAAAAAACAACCCCAACCCAAAAAGCCUAAAGAACCUCAAAAAAACCCCAAAAAAUCACAAAGAUCCUCAAAAAACCCGAGAAAAUUACAAAGAACCCCCCAGAAAUCCAAAAGAGCCUCAAAAAAACCAAAAAAAAGUCACAAAAACCUCGGAAAAUCAAAAAAUAUCCUCAAAAAAUCUAAAAAAAAAACCCCAAAGUACCUCAGUAAACAACAAUAAAAUCCCAAAGAACCCGAGAAAAAACCAAAAAAAUCACAAAGAAUUUCAAAAAACCCAAAAAAAUUCCAAAGAACCCCUAAAAAAACCCAAAAAAAUCACAAAGAACCUCAAAAAACCAAAAAAAACACCCCCAGAAUCUCAAAAAAAAAAACCCCAACCCAAAAAGCCUAAAGAACCUCAAAAAAACCCCCAAAAAUUCCAAAGAACCCCAAAAAAACCCAAAAAAAAUCACAAAGAUCCUCAAAAAACCCCAGAAUAUUACAAAGACCCCCCCAAAAAAAAUCCAAAAGAGCGUCAAAAAACCCCCCAAAAUUACAAAGAACCUCAAAAAAAUCCAAAAGAUCCUCAAAAAACCCAAAAAAAUCACAAAAACCUCGGAAAAUCAAAAAAAUCCCCAAAAAAUCUAAAAAAAAAACCCCAAAGAACCUCAGAAAACAACAAUAAAAUCCCAAAGAACCCCAGAAAAACCCCAAAAAAUCACAAAGAAUUUAAAAAAACCAAAAAAAAUCCCAAUGAACCCGCCAAAAAACCCCCAAAAAUUCACAAAGAACCUCAAAAAAACAAAAAAAAACCCCAGAAUCUCAAAAAAAAAACCCAACCCAAAAAGCCUAAAGAACCUCAAAAAAACCCCAAAAAAUUCCAAAGAACCCCAAAAAAACCCCCAAAAAAUCACAAAGAUCCUCAAAAAACCCAGAAAAUUACAAAGAACCCCCCAAAAUCCAAAAGAGCCUCAAAAAAAACCCCAAAAUUACAAAUAACCUCAAAAAAAUUCAAAAGAUCCUCAAAAACGCCCAAAAAUCACAAAUAA
rnacentral:lncRNA from 1 species